ensembl:ncRNA Y5H2B.8 ncRNA
GCUUCUUGUUUUCGCUGCUCUUUGAGGUAGGCUUCUGCGUAGUCCAGGCUUUCCUCAGAGUCAAAGUCUAUUUUGGAGCGGUGCUCUUCGAUUUGGUGAUUGAAGAAC